AUGCACCGUUCAUGCCCACUCUUUCCAGAAGGCAGAUUGACAGUUCUCGUCUUUACUCACUGCCUGAACCUUUCCUUACCCUUUGACCAAACCUACCACUUCUUACCUUUUUCUUUUGUUUUGUUUUGUUUUUCUGCAUCUCUAGGUAUUUGCCUCUGAUGCUCCCUUUGCCUGGAAGCCUUACCUAGUCCCAUCCAUGCCUUUGGAAAUCACGCGAAAAUGCUUCGAGCUGGAUCCCACAUGUCAUCACCUCAACAAAAGCCUUUCCCUGAGCUGUUUAACCGACCGUGCUUCCUCAAAACAGUGAGACCAAUAAAGAAGAAAUAAAAUUUUUUCCAAAUGACAAAAAACAACAAAACAGGAUGGGAAGAAAACCACCAAAAAGAAAUACUUUCAACAACUAUCUGGAAGAUGGGAAGCAAAGAAAGGACUGUAGACAGAAAGCAGAGGAAGCCACGGCCUAGAAUACAUGCUGGAGAUCUACAUUCAAUGAGAAAAUCUGCCUGCCAUGCUCAAUUCUUCACAAGACUGAUAUGCACAAAUCCAGCUGUUCCUUCCAUUAAUGAAAGUGGAAUAUUGAAGCCUCUGACUAUCAUCACGGAAUCCUCUACAUUUCUCCUUCACUUCUGUAAGUUUUGCUUCAUGCAUUUUGGUGCUCUGUUGCUAGGUGGGUAUGUGAUUAAAACUGUCAUACCUUUCAGACUGGUGGACUCUUUCCACAUUAUAAAGUACCCCUCUUUACCUCUAAUAAUACUUGUUUCAGAGUCUGUUGUUUCUGAUAUUACUAUAGCCAUUGCAGCUUUCUUUUAGUUCUAGAUUUUCUCCUAUGUUAUAUCCCAGGAGUUUCAUAGUGUUGAGUUUUACAUUGAGGUCGGGGAUCCAUUUUGAGUACCUUUGCGUGAAGGAUGUAAGGUCUGUGUCUAGAUUUAUUUUUUUGCACGUGGAUGUCCGUCGUUCCAGCAAAAUCUGUUGAAAACUGUCUUUGCUCCACUGUGUUGCCUUGAUUCCUCUGUCAAAUACCUGUUGAGUAUAUUUAUAUUGAUCUAGUUCUGGGCUCUCCAUUCUGUUCCAUUGAUCUAGUUGUCUACUCUUUUGCCAAUAGCAAAUCGCCGUGAUAGCUUUAUAGUAAGUCUGGGAGUCAGGUAAUGUCUGUCUUCCAACUUUGUUCUCCUUCAAUAUUCUGUCUUCCAAUAUAAACUUUAGAAUACGUUUGUCAAUAGCCACAAAAUAACUUGCUGGGAUUUUGAUAGGGACUGCAGUGAAUCUAUAGACAAACUGGGAAGAACUGGAAUCUUGACAAUAUUGAGUCCACCUAUAUAUGAAUAUGUAAUAUCUCCCCAUUGAUUUAAUUCAUUUUUUAUUUUGUUCAUUUGAGUUUUAUAGCUGCUUUGUGGUUUCCUUCAUCUGCACCUUGCAUAUAUUUUGUUAAAUUUACACCUAAGUAUUCCAUUCUGGGGGUGCUAAUGUAAAUGGUAUUGUGUUUUCAAUGUCAAUUCUACUUGUUCAUUAUUGGUACAUAAAAAAUGAUUGACUUGUUAUACUAACCUUAUACCUGUAACCUUGCUAUAAUCAUUUAUUAGUUCUAGGAGGGCUUGUUUUUCUUUUUUGGCCAAUUCUUCCAGGUUUUCUACAUAGAUGAUCACAUCAUCUAUAAAUGGUUUUACUUCUUCCUUCCCAAUCUGUAUACCUUUUAUUCCCUUUUCUUGUCUUAUUGAAUUGGCUAGAAAUUCCAGUGCAAUGUUGAAAAGGAGUGGUGAGGGUCAUGUGGGUGGCUCAGUCAGUUAAGCAUCCGACUUUGGCUCAGGUCGUGAUCUCCCAGUUCAUGAGUGCAAGCCUCACAUCAGACUCGCUACUGUCAGUGCGGAACCUGCUUCGAAUCCUUUGUCUCUCUCUCUCUCUGCCCUUUCCCUGCCUGUGCUCUCUCUCUCUCAAAAAUAAAUAAACAUUUAAAAAAAGAAGUGGUGAGAGGAAACUAAUGCAACAUUUUAAUUUAUUCAACUUUUUUGCACUAAUAUUUUUAGUGAUUUCUUUAUAGGUUGGUCUAGACUUCACCAUGCCAAUCUUAAAUUAUCAGAAUAAGCUUAAGAUUCAUAAUGAUUCACUUAAUUCCAGUGAGAGCUAGAAAUGAUACUCCUAUAUAUCUCUACUCCCUUCCUCCCCUUCUGUGAUAUUAUUGUUAUACAUACUGCAUCUAUAAAUGUUGCAACCAUUGCAUAACACUGGAACUGCUAAAAGUAUUGCUUUACAUAAUUUUGUGUUUUACAGAAGC